ensembl:lncRNA
CAACAGUGCAUACCCAGCUGCAAAUCUACAUAUAAAUCAUUCUUUUUCAGUAUCUGCCCAAUAUAUCUUGGUUUGAAUUCAUCCUUCCUCCAGUUAAUAAAUACCUCAGGGUCUUCCUUCUGCCCACUGAGUACCUGGGAGUCUAUGGUCAAAGCACCCCUAGUUUGACAUCUCAGAUACCCUGAGUUUAGACACCUCAUUUAGGUGCUAUCAGUAAAUGGGAUGAAGCCAGCCUUUGUUUCAGCUGUUUUUUUUUUUCUUUCAUUUCCCCCAUCAGCAGAGAUCCGAUUUUUCUCAGGAUGAGUUCUGCUGUGUCUGAAUUCCUCUUUGUGCUCUUCCCAGCAUUCCAGGCAGUGCUGCACUGCAGCAGCACACCCCUCUUUGGAAUGUUAUUCCCUCAAGACUCCCAUGGCACAGAGAGAUGGCGACAAAGCAGCAUCAAGCAAUUGCCUCCUGGCUAGCGUUCUCGGCAAACUCUCAUGACUAUUGACUCAAAUGAGCAGCCCAGCAACAGGGAAAGAAACCAUUCGAUUCACAGAUUAUCAAGUGAAUCCCAAGACCAGCAUCACUGUGCUGACCAAGAGGAGCAGUCUGCAGCUUCCAGCUUUGCCCACCUUGCCCAGCCUGCAGUAUCAAUAACAAGGACAAAGGAACUGAUGUUGUGUUGCGGUGCCAGGUGACUUUGUGGGCUACCCGGCAGCCUGGACCACAGAAACACUCAGAGAUGGGCCAAGAAGAGCAACACUCACUGAUCGGAAUGUCUUUCCAAAUGUGGGUGUCAGACCAUCUAUCAGGGGACACCACAUCCAGUCAUAGAGAACUCCUUGCAGCAGCAGAAGAGGAUAAGAAAAACCUUCAGUUACCCAGAUGAUCUUUUCCUUCCAUUGAUCCUGUCUACCAAGUAGGAAGGACAACUGAAAUUCUACUGGGUUAGGAUGGAUAGCCUCCAUUGUGCUACUUUGGACAUGCCCACACUGCUGACCAGGAAGAGAAAGCACAGGCAUUUACAUCAUUCCAUCGUAUAAAACCACAUCCUCUUGGCUGUCUGUUUUACACACAUCAGUCAGGGAAAGACACUCUGGAUGCAGGUCUUACCUAAUGUGCCAGACUAUGAACCAAGAGGACCUUGGUCUGAGUCUCUUUGACAUCAGGGGAAAGGCUUGUUCUAACCUUGGAUUCAUCCAAAGUCUCUAAAAGGAGUUAUUUAAGUGAAGGUAGGCGAAGAAACAAAGGGCACCUGCUUUUCCAUAUAUGUGUGGAUCCACAGACAAAAGAAGGAGGGGCAUGUGGCUGGACGGAAAUGAAUUCCCCUGUCUGACUUGAAAUCAAACUGGAAUCCACUGCUAUUUGGUAAAAUAUUUUGAGCGAAUUUUUAAAAAGGGUUGGAUUAGUUCAUUGCUAUUUGUUGUGGAUACUCUCAAAUAAAUGGAUAAAUAUGUGACUAUUUAAGAAGAAUCCUCUUUUCCAGCUUCAAAACUAUACAACUGAGAACAAAGUUUGGCUAUCUCAAAGUAAUCAAACCUAGUGCUUGAUGCUGCACUGCAACCUUUUUGCCUGAAGAGGCCAGGAAGGAAGUAUUUUCCCACACGAAUGGGUAACCUCAGUUUCAUUUUUCAGCAGCUGUUCUUGAAGUACUUGUUCGUUACCACUGGAGACACAGUGUGCCACAGCCCAGUUCUCUGUGCCAGAGAUUUACAAGUUAGGAGAAAUGUUUCACACUCAAGAGAAGAGGGAACAGUCAACCCCUUCCAUUCAUAAGGUGUAGCUUUGUCAUAUCAUAAGAUGUCUGUUUGGUCUCCAGCUUUUGCCCCGCUUACACUUUCAUUCAUUCAGGUGUAAUUGUUAAGGCAAGCCCUCUGUCUGGGUUUUACUUGUUAAAACCCGGGUGAACACAGAAGCAAAGCAUGGCAUUGGUAAUGAUGGCUCUCCUGUGUGUGUUGGUACAAAACUCCGUAAGUACACCUCUGCUUAAUGAGAAACCAAAGGUGUUCUGGUGUUCUGACAAGCGAGAACAAAUAAUAAUAAUAAAAAAAAGUUGCUAUCCUGUCAAAUACUGUGUGUAUAUCAAGGAUCUGGAAUACAAAGCAGACUUAACAGCAAUCACAUUUUGAGUAGAAUUCAGUUGAAUGUAACACCUUCUCCCUCUAAGGUUUUGAAUGUGGUAUCUUAAAGAAGAUCACACAAAUUACUCAUUCCGGGAACAAAGGCUCUUUUUUGAAAGCUGUCAGCUUGCUGACAGUUAUGAUGAGCAUUUACUUCAGGCUUGUAAAACAUAUUAAUCAAACUUGUUCCUAUAGCUUCAGUCCAAGGAGGGUUACUGUUUCUUUUAGAGAAAUGUUUUACAUAAGCGAAGAGCUCUGAAUACAUAUACACCUUGAAUGCAAACCACUUUCUAUGCCAUUCAUUUAUUCAUAAUGAAUAAAUACUAGUCUACACCAGGAUUAAGGAGAAUUGAAGCAGUGUAUGGAAAUCUGUUUAUUACAAGACUAUUUGCCAAAGACCUAUGCACCAUUCAUUGAACCCUGAAAAACAUUUGAAAAUAUGGGUUGCAUUUGCAAACUUCAAUGUAUGACAUGGAGAGCUGGCAAACUGCCUGGUUUCUACUUAAAGGAUUGUCAUUCUGGGAAAAAUAAAUUUCUCUAACUAGACAAAAGUCAAUGUUUUCAUGUUUUACUGCAAUCAAACUGAUAUGGCUGACAAUUUAAUGUCUCAACACUUAAAAUAUCUGUGGAUAAUCAGUUAUCUCAAUCAAUCAUAUCUACAAGAUUUCUCUAUUUUCAAAGCCUGUAUACAUAUGACAGAGAUAUCUAACAGUUUAUAGAAACCUUCCUAUCCUUAAUACCUCAUGAUUUCUCUUCAACUAUGCAAUUCUUUUCUUUUCUUUCUUUCUUUCUUUCUUUUUUUCUCCAUAUGCAAGAAUUUAUAAUUGCUGGGAAAAAAAAAAUCCAAUCCUGCACUGUAAUCAGAUUUUGAAACCUUUGUGUUAAUGUCCUGUUUUAUUUAAUUUUAUGUAUAUUUUAUAGUCUGCUUGCCUGUCAGAAAGAUGUGGAAAUGUGCUGGCAUUCCAGCUGAAGACAUCAUUAUGAGUGAGAAAAUGCUCAAGGCUUUUUCAAAGUGGGUGCUGAAACAUACGUUUCUCUUCUUUGACUCCAGGGGAUGCUAACAGCUGCCCCAGCAGACAGGUACCGCAAGGUCAAAGGCUAGCAGAGCUGUGCACCUCCAGGAUUUGACUGCCAGCAAAGUAGAUGGGUAGUUUCUCAAAACUAAUAAUAAAAAUAGCAACAAUGAUGAGAAGAAGAAGGAACUGACAACAAAAAUGAAAAGAAACCUGCAGGAAGUGAAUUCUGGGUAGCACAACGCUUGGCAGAGCUGAUUUUAAUAUCUGACAGGUUGAGUUCACUAAUCUUUGCUAUUCAUAUUGACGUGAAACUUCAUACAGUUUUAGAGAUUUGUAUCUAUUAAGACAUGCAGCAGUGUUUCUACAACAUGGGAACAAGUUUGCUAGCGCCUACUGUUCUUCUUCUUCCCUGAUAGAAAUUGAUAUGAACUGUUUUAAAUGCCUAACAGAUAAUUACUCUGAACACUCAAUAAAGAAAACUGCAUCUUUAGGGCCUCCUUUAUCUUUAAAAAAUAAUUAAAAAAAACCAAGCCCCAGACCCACCACCAAGACAAAACAACAUUCUUCCCUCCGUCUCCCCCCCCCCACCUUUUGUUUCUUUGAUUACUUGGAGCCUUGUAAUCAAACUAAGCUUAGUUUCAGGACCCUUGGGGCAGUAUCUCUUAGUUCCCUGUCAGACUGCGUUGCAAAACAAUCAAUCUUGCUCUUGCACUCACUUGGCGGAAGUGCCGCGACACGAAGAGCGCCGUGCUUUGCUCUUGCUGUGAAGCUACGAUGACAAAAGUUUUUAUCAGAAGCUGACUGUAUUUAGGGUUAUGAAUAUGCAAUGACUCUCAUUAGUAUUGAAGCGCAGGAGCACAGGCUGACAUCCCCCGCCACUUUUAGCUGCUGCAGAAUCGUCUAAUGAAUUGUCUUGCUCUUUCACUUGCACAGGCGCUGCUGUUAUGGCUCCCUGUUCCAAGGGGAGUUGCCCAGUUUGAGAAUACUGUUGACUGCAGAAAUUAAUUGCCAGGAACUGCUCUUGAUUUUGUUAAACAAUGUUGAGACAGUGUUUAAAUUGCCAGAACAGAAAACCAUUAAGCUCUGCACAAGACAGAGCCAUCAUGAGUGAAGGAACCUGCAUGUCCAUGUGCCAGGUGUGCCACGGGUUUGCGCGCAGUAUUGUGGUCAUAGCUGCACACGUGAGGAUAUCUCUGUGCCAGUGGAGGGUCUCAGAGACCUGGCUUCACAUUGAUUCAUUUACUGUUCUCCCAGAACAAUUUGUUCUCCUAGAACAAAUGGGGAUAAGACGGCAUUCUCCAAAUGAGCAGGAUUCCAAUACAUUGCUGUUUGAUCAACCUGUUAAUACUCUCCUUUUCCUCUGAGACUCUGCCAAACAUUUUUCAGUUCACACAUCUGCAAUCUUUUUAUGAAUAAAGCACUGAUAAGAAUGGUGCCAACAAAUGAUUAAGAUAUCUGGCUUGAUUUGUAGUAUUUGAGGAGAUGUGAAAGCUUUCAGAAACAAGUGGAAAUGCCCCUUUUUCCCAAUUGGUUAAAUUAAUUUUUUUUUUUCCUAUUCAUCUGAAAUUUCUCCUGACAUAAAAAGAGCUUUUGUGGCUCUCUGCAGAUUAUGAAGGAUGGAGUGAAUUGGAACAGAUAAUAUAUUCCAAGAAGCGUAAGUAGCAUUCUGAAAGGUGUGCGCAUACUGCAAAUAAUGAAGGAUAUGAGGUUCUCCCAAGAAGAUGUCAGCCCUGUGCAGCUCUUUAUCCAUUCAAUCAGUAAUGGAAAUGGUCCCAGUGCAAGCAGGAGGAUCUGUAUAAUUUUUACUGUGAUUUUUGGCACUGCUGCUCUAAAGUGAGCUUGGGUUACCUCUUGACCCAACCCCAGGAGUGCCUGUUCUCGUCAGCUGGAGAAAAAAUAAACAUAAAAAAACAUCUACAUGUUGGGAGUAUCAAAUACAAGAGCAGUUUAAAAUAAAUGCAGUUCUGACAAAAGUGGCUCAAGUAUCAUACAUCAAACACUUGUUACCUCUCUUGGCCUUAGUGACUGCACGUGACUAAGAAAGAGUGAGUGAUAAAAUCCGAAGAAAGAUGAAACCAAUCUGGGCCUUUUUAAAGAUCAUCAAUCAUUCUGCGCAGCCAUGAUAUUAUUAGUUCCAGUAAGCCUUGUUCUCCCAUUUUAUGGACAUCAUAAACCCCCCACCCCUCUACCAAUGCUACCAUGGGAAAUCAUUUUUAUGGGCAGCAUCUUAGCAUGGGCCAAUCAGAUCUAAUCACAUAACAAGCUACUGAAUUAUUCAACGUUCUCCCUAAUUCUGCAUUCUUCCUGCACUUUGCUGUCACUGCAGGGUUUUAAAAGUAUGUGUUUUUACAAUAUUUAUUAAGAAGAUAACCGUACACAGGAAUUUUGCUUUCUCGAUGUCUUUCAAUAAUUGCUUGUUCCCUUAGAUGGUUGUACUAUAUACACUACUGUAUAGAGAACAUUUUCUCAGAAAAGAACAGCUAUUCAUAAUGUGGCAUUCGGCUCUAAACUCUUUCGGCUUUUAAAAUACUGAGCGUAAGGACAAUAGCGAAACAAUUGUGUUCAAACAUAAAAUAUUCAGAUUUACAGAGCAAACUGUAACCAGCAUGUCUCUUAGCUGUUGCUGUGAAUACAGGGCUCACAUUGUAUAUGAAAAUAUUUCAGUUUUAAUUGCAAAUCUGUGCAGAGAUGAUUUGGGGUCUGUAAUUAGCACAUAAAUUCCAGACUUUGUGACUGCUGUGAAAACACACAUUAUUUAUGGAACGAUUAUCUAAACAUAAUUCAGUGUUUUUUUUGCUUUCAACAACUACUGUAAAAGUCUGAUUUAAUAAAAUGUGAAAAAUUUUACAUCUCUUACACUUCUAUUUACGUUAUGAAGCAUUCGUUCCUCUGCGCUGCCAUUUCCCACUCCACCUGCAGUGGUCUCUGCUUUCAGAGGUUCCAUACUUCACUCACACCUCAG